GAAGAGGAGCUUGCGGCAGAUUAGCUUGUUGGUAAGGUAACGGCUUACCAAGGCUACGAUCUGUAACCGGUCUAAGAGGACGGUCGGUCACACUGACACUGAAUAACGGGUCAGACUCCUACGGGAGGCAGCAGUCGGGAAUUUUGGGCAAUGGGGGAAACCCUGACCCAGCAACGCCGCGUGAAGGAUGAAGUAUUUCGGUAUGUAAACUUCGAAAGAAUAGGAAGAAUAAAUGACGGUACUAUUUAUAAGGUCCGGCUAACUACGUGCCAGCAGCCGCGGUAAUACGUAGGGACCAAGCGUUGUUCGGAUUUACUGGGCGUAAAGGGCGCGUAGGCGGCAUUGUUAGUCACUUGUGAAAUCUCCGGGCUUAACUCGGAACGGCCAAGUGAUACUGCAGUGCUAGAGUGCGGAAGGGGCAAUCGGAAUUCUUGGUGUAGCGGUGAAAUGCGUAGAUAUCAAGAGGAACACCAGAGGUGAAGACGGGUUGCUGGGCCGACACUGACGCUGAGCGCGAAAGCCAGGGGAGCAAACGGGAUUAGAUACCCCGGUAGUCCUGGCCCUAACGAUGAGUACUUGGUGUCUGGAGUUAUUAGUGCUCCGGGUGCCGUCGCUAACGUUUUUAGUAUUCCGCCUGGGGAGUACGGUCGCAGACUGAAACUCAAGGAAUUGACGGGGACCCGCACAAGCGGUGGAGCAUGUGGUUCAAUUCGACGCAACGCGAAGAACCUUACCUAGGUUAGAAUGUGAGGGAAGAAAGGGUAAUACCGAUCGUCUGGGAAACCAGACCCAAAACAAGGUGCUGCAUGGCUGUCGUCAGCUCGUGUCGUGAGAUGUUGGGUUAAGUCCCGCAACGAGCGCAACCCUUAUCAAUAGUUGCCAUCAUUAAGUUGGGCACUCUAUUGAGACUGCC
rnacentral:rRNA from 1 species